rnacentral:rRNA from 1 species
GACGAACGCUGGCGGCGUGCUUAACACAUGCAAGUCGAACGGAGUUACGUAUGAAGUAUUUCGGUACGGACUAUGUAACUUAGUGGCGAACGGGUGAGUAACACGUGGGCAACCUGCCCUUAACCGGGGGAUAACAUUGUGAAAACAGUGCUAAUACCGCAUAACAGAGUAUCGGGCAUCCGAUAUUUUUAAAAGGAGCAAUCCGGUUUAGGAUGGGCCCGCGUCCAAUUAGCUAGUUGGUGAGGUAACGGCUCACCAAGGCUACGAUUGGUAGCCGAACUGAGAGGUUGAUCGGCCACAUUGGGACUGAGACACGGCCCAGACUCCUACGGGAGGCAGCAGUGGGGAAUAUUGGUCAAUGGGCGCUAGCCUGAACCAGCCAAGUCGCGUGAAGGAAGACAGAUCUAUGGUUUGUAAACUUCUUUUGCAGGGGAGUAAAGUGCGACACGUGUGUUGUAUUGCAAGUACCCUGUGAAUAAGCAUCGGCUAACUCCGUGCCAGCAGCCGCGGUAAA